GAAAUGCGAUAAGUAAUGUGAAUUGCAGAAUUCAGUGAAUCAUCGAAUCUUUGAACGCACAUUGCGCCCCUUGGUAUUCCGAGGGGCAUGCCUGUUCGAGCGUCAUUAUGACCACUCAAGCCUAGCUUGGUAUUGGGGUUCGCGGUCUCGCGGCCCUUAAAAUUAGUGGCGGUGCCAUCUGGCUCUAAGCGUAGUAAUUAUCUCGCUAUUGGGUCCGGUGGUUGCUUGCCAAUAACCCCCAACUUCUAAGGUUGACCUCGGAUCA
rnacentral:rRNA from 1 species